rnacentral:rRNA from 1 species
UACAGAGGGUGCUAGCGUUAAUCGGAUUUACUGGGCGUAAAGCGUGUGUAGGCGGUUCGUUAAGUCGGGUGUGAAAUCCCUGGGCUCAACCCGGGAAUUGCAUUCGAUACUGGCGAGCUAGAGUACGGUAGAGGGCGGCGGAAUUCCGGGUGUAGCGGUGAAAUGCGUAGAUAUCGGGAGGAACACCAGUGGCGAAGGCGGCGAUCUGGGUGGAUACUGACGCUGAUGCACGAAAGCGUGGGGAGCAAACAGG